rnacentral:tRNA from 2 species
GGAGAGGUGGCCGAGCGGCUUAAGGCGCACGCCUGGAAAGCGUGUUGGGGGCAACCCCUCCAGGGUUCGAAUCCCUGUCUCUCCGCGA